rnacentral:rRNA from 1 species
GAGGGGUGCUAGCGUUAUUCGGAAUUAUUGGGGCGUAAAGGGGUGCGCAGACGGCGUGCUAAGUCUGCUGUUUAAUUCUCCGGGCUUAACCGGGAGGGUCAGCGGUAGAUACUGGUGUGCUAGAGGAUGAAAGAGAGAAGUGGAAUUCUCGGAGUAGCGGUAAAAUGCGUAGAUCUCGAGAGGAACACCGAUGGCGAAGGCAGCUUCUUGGUUCAUUCCUGACGUUCAUGCACGAAAGCGUGGGGAGCAAACAGGAUUAGAUACCCUGGUAGUCCACGCCGUAAACGAUGAUCACUAGACGUCAGCCUUGUUUUGCAGGGUUGGUGUCGUAGCUAACGCGUUAAGUGAUUCGCCUGGGGACUACGAUCGCAAGAUUA